CACAGUGACUCGGCCUCCAUCGUGCCAACAGGAUGGGCGGAUGCGCAGGCCACAGAGUCCCUGGUUGGUGAGGAAGCUGCCAAUCCUGGUCAUCUCUUGGAGCCGGGCGGGGGUCAGAGUGUGGCUGGAGCACGAUUCACAGCCUCCCAAAGGUGGAAAGCACCAAGCAGGGGCCCAUUAGGGCAAACAGGUGAGCACAACGUGGUCUGUCCAUGCAACGGGCACUACUCAGCAGUGAAAAGCCAGGAGGCACUGACACGCUGCAGCUGGGAUGGACCUUGAAGAUGUGAUGCAACGUUAAAGAAGCCAGGCAGAAAAGGCCCAUUGCUGUGAAACGUCUGGAACAGGCAAAUCUACAGAGACAGAGCAUGGAUUUGUGGUUGCCUGGGGCUGGGGACGAGGGGCAGACAAAGCGACUGCUCAUGGGCACGGGGUUUCCUUUUGGGGGUGAAGACGAUGUGACUGUCAACACCGAGCAUGCUAAGACCCACUGGACUGUACACCGUAAGUGAAUGAAUUACACAGUGUGGAAAUCACAUCUCAAUAGAGCUACUGAACAGCACAG
rnacentral:lncRNA from 10 species